rnacentral:rRNA from 1 species
UACAGAGGAUGCAAGCGUUAUCCGGAAUGAUUGGGCGUAAAGCGUCUGUAGGUGGCUUUUUAAGUCCGCCGUCAAAUCCCAGGGCUCAACUCUGGACAGGCGGUGGAAACUACCAAGCUGGAGUACGGUAGGGGCAGAGGGAAUUUCCGGUGGAGCGGUGAAAUGCGUAGAUAUCAAGAGGAACACCUGAGGGGAAGACGGGUUGCUGGGCCGACACUGACGCUGAGUGCGCGAAAGCCAGGGGAGCAAACGGG